rnacentral:misc_RNA from 1 species
AUAAUUGAAAUGAAGAAGGCAGAAGCUUCUAGCAAUCUAGCUUUGACAAAGAUGGAUCCAUACUUUCUCAGUUUCUCUAUCAAUCUUUAGAUGGGAUGAGAUGGAAAGCAGAGAAAGAGGAAAAAGCAGAGAAAGAGGAAAAUAAGGCGUGAUUUUGAGGAAGAUAAAGAUGAAUAGGAGACUUGUGAAUGAUAUGUGGAAACAACACGUAAAUGUUUAGAAGCUUUUAGUAAUUGUUUAAAA